AUGUCCACAUCAAGUAGAACAUGCUAUCAAUAUGGCUCGGGCAUUACUUUCAAAAAAAUAUAUGUCCACAUCAACUGCGGUCUUUGCCCGCUCUGUAAGCAGGUGCAGGAGUCGGGCGUCCACCUAUUCGCCAAAUGCCGCUUCAUCUUGAGGCUUUCGCGGAUGCUCAUUGACAAGUAUGGGCUUGUGCAUCUGAACCCUUCUGAUUGGCACCUUGAGGAUUCCCUCCUCUCUUGGUGGGAUAAGCGCACCAAUUCAAGCAUCCCGGAUCGUCGAGCCAUGGCCUUCCUUACCAUGCUCGUAUCCUGGACAAUUUGGAACGAGAGGAACGCUAGAGUCUUCCGCCACAAAGAGACGCCGCCGCCAAUCCUUCUCAAGCUUAUUAUAGAUGAGGCCAACCUAUGGGUUAUUGCAGGGGCUAAACAAUUAGGAAAAAUUGUAUUGCGCGAGUAA
rnacentral:rRNA from 1 species